UGAUCUUAGUUUUCCUGUUUUAUUGUGUGCUUUUUUUUUGAGGGGAGAUGUUUCCAUAUGAAAUUAAAACUUGCCAACCUUCUUAAAAGGAACUGUUUUUAGUGGCAUCUUCUCUUUCAACCCCUUCCUAUUUGAUGCAACAACCCUAAAAGUAAUACGUAGUUUUGUCAAGGUUGGUGUGCCUAAAGAUUAUCUUGGAAAUUUAUUGAAAUAUAAACUCUUGAGAAGGCAGAAAUGGCUCAUUAGUUUAGAGUUUUGACUGCUCUUCUAGGGGACCCAAGUUCAAUGCUCAUUACCCAUGUUGAAUGGCUCACACCCCUUUGUAAUACAGAUUCAAGGAAUCCAACCCUGUCUUCUGGCUUUCAUGGGUAUUUACAUAUAUGUGGCAUUCACUCAAACACACACAGAUACACAAAAAGCUUUUUAAAAUCAUUUUAUGUUCCAUAAUUUGCAAUGGAUUUCAUUUUAUUUCCAAGAAAUACAUUGCUUUUGUUUUGUUGCUUUGUUUUGUAAUUUUUCUAAAUCAACCUUCAGGUGAAUCUAAACUGGUCCCCUAAAAUUUACUUUAUAAGACAUUCUUAUGUUGGCUUUCUCUUCUUCCAAAUAGUACUAGUAAUAUGUACAUAUGCCUAAAAACAUAUUUUAAGACCAGUGAUAAAGAUGAAACUAGUUGCUAUGCCUUUGAGGUCAGUAUGGGACACAAUGACAAAAUGUUUCGAUAGUUUUCUAGUUGAGAAAAUAAAUGCUUCAGAUGCAUAGUCCUAUAAAACAAACCUUC
rnacentral:lncRNA from 1 species